CCUGGUGGCUCAGAUGGUAAAGAAUCUGCCUACAAUGCAGGAGACCCAGGUUUGAUUCCUGGGUCAGGA
rnacentral:tRNA from 1 species